rnacentral:rRNA from 1 species
AGGUUAAGGUGCAAAGACUGGAGCCGUAGCGAAAGCGAGUCUUAAUAGGGCGAAUCAGUACGUAGUUGUAGACCCGAAACCGAGUGACCUAUCCAUGGUCAGGUUGAAGGUGGGGUAAUACCUACUGGAGGACCGAACAAGUGGGUGUUAAAAAACCCUUUGAUGAACUGUGGAUAGCGGUGAAAUUCCAAUCGAACUCGGAGAUAGCUGGUUCUAUCCGAAAUACAUUUAGGUGUAGCCUUGCAAUUAGCUUACUGGAGGUAGAGCACUAUUUGGUCUAGGGGCCCUUCAAGGGUUACCAAAAUCAGAUAAACUCCGAAUGCCAGCUAAGUAUGUGCAGGAGUCAGACGGUGAGUGAUAAGAUCCAUCGUCAAAAGGGGAACAGCCCAGAUCACCAGUUAAGGUCCCUAAAUAUAUGCUAAGUGGAAAACGUUGUGAAGGUGCAUAGACAACUAGGAGGUUGGCUCAGAAGCAGCCACCCUUUAAAGAGUGCGUAAUAGCUCACUAGUCGAGUGCUCUUGCGCGGAUAAUGUACCGGGGCUAAGCAUAUUACCGAAACUGUGGAUGCGUAAGCAUGGUAGGAUAGCGUAAUUAACGCGAUGAAGGAUGACCGUAAGGACAUGUUGGAGCGUUAACUAGUGAGAAUUCCGGUAUGAGUAGCGAAAGAUAGGUGAGAAUCCUAUCCACCGAAUGAGUAAGGUUUCCCCCGGAAGGCUCGUCCGCGGGGGGUUAGUCGGGACCUAAGGCGAGGCUGAAAAGCGUAGUCGAUGGACAACAGGUUGAUAUUCCUGUACCGAUAUUUAAUUGCCGAAGGAAGGACGCAGAAGGAUAACACAGGCCACUAUUGGAUGUGGUUUUAAACAGUUAGUCUUCAUAAGAGUCAAAUGCUUUUAUGUUUAAGGAUAAGCUGUGAAUGUACCAAGUUUACUUGGAAAUUGUGUGAUUUCACGCUGCUGAAAAAAGUUUCGUAGGAAGAAAAUAUUGCCCGUACCGCAAACCGACACAGGUACUCAAGUGGAGAACACUAAGGUGAGCGAGUGAACUAUUGUUAAGGAACUCUGCAAAAUG